UGACGUGUCACACUCUCAAGGAAAGCUUGGUUUCAUUUUUCAUUGGCUUCGACAUUUCUUUUUCUUCUUCUCUCGCAAACGGCGACAAGGCGAAACGGCAAAACGGUGAGAGAUUUGUGUUCUCAUCACCGUCGUCUCCUCUGUCUCCUCGUUCCGGCCAUUGAAACACCAAGUCAACCGAUCUCCUCUGUCUCCUCGUCUCCUCGUUUCCUCGUGUCCACCGAUUCUCGAUUGCCUCCGCAAUAGAAGAGGCAAUCGUGAAAAGAUCGGUGAGAAAAGGGUUUUGGUGUUUAAGCAUCGUGGUGGUUCCAAGUCCAAUUGGGUUAUGCACGAGUACCACGCUACGCCCAUGUCUCCUCCUAAUCAGAUGAUGAAAUAUACACUUUGUAAAGUUGAGUUCAAGGGUGAAGAGAGUGAGAUUUCGUCUCUUUAAUCCCUCUUAUGAACAAUUCUGGAGAACUGAGUCCAACAUCUGAGGGAUCGUCGUACUACCAAGGAAUACAGAAUCCAAGUCAGCUUAGUAGUGGCUUUCUUGGAGUGCAGCAAAUUUCUAGAACAUACCGUUUUGUACUUUCCAAAUUUCUGUUUUGUACUUUCCAAAUUUCUAGAAGCACAAGCUAUGUCUAUUUCUGGUUUUCUCUGGUUUUGUAACUUUUUCAUAUUGUGUGAUUGUGCUUCGUAUGUACGUACUCGCUCUAUAUGAAAAGGGUGGAUUUAUGCUAAGAAGUGGUUAGGAAAGAUAAAUUUGUACAAGUAACGAAAUUUUAUGUCUAUCUUGUUCUGUAACUUUUCGCUAUUGUAAAUGUGGAUGUUUUGUAAUAUAUAUGAAUGUUUUUAAGUA